UAUAUAUAUAUAUAUAUAUAUAUAUAUAUAUAUAUAUAAUAUGUGUGGAUCUGCUUAACGUACAAUAGUAUGUUAAAGACCUUUUCAAGAAUAAAUUAGAGCAUAAACUCAAAUUAAGGGAUCUAGUACUGAGCAAUAUUAAGGUAGAUGAGUCAUUUGGUUAAUUAAUUAGAGUUUGUACUUUUGACAAAGUUCAUAAAUUUAAUUAUUUCCAUGCCUUUUGAGCAAGUUAAGGGGCACAAUUAUUUUAAUCCCGGUACAUGUAAUAUUAGUUAAUUAGCUGACAAGCUAGGG
rnacentral:lncRNA from 1 species